rnacentral:rRNA from 1 species
AACGAACGCUGGCGGCAGGCCUAACACAUGCAAGUCGAACGCGUCCUUCGGGACGAGUGGCAGACGGGUGAGUAACGCGUGGGAACGUACCCUUUGGUUCGGAACAACUCCGGGAAACUGGAGCUAAUACCGGAUAAGCCCUUCGGGGGAAAGAUUUAUCGCCAGAGGAUCGGCCCGCGUUAGAUUAGCUUGUUGGUGAGGUAAUGGCUCACCAAGGCUACGAUCUAUAGCUGGUCUGAGAGGAUGAUCAGCCACACUGGGACUGAGACACGGCCCAGACUCUUACGGGAGGCAGCAGUGGGGAAUCUUGGACAAUGGGCGAAAGCCUGAUCCAGCCAUGCCGCGUGAAUGAUGAAGGCCCUAGGGUUGUAAAAUUCUUUCGACGGGGAAGAUAAUGACGGUACCCGUAGAAGAAGCUCCGGCUAACUUCGUGCCAGCCGCCGCUGUAAAAC